UACGUAGGGCGCAAGCGUUGUCCGGAAUUAUUGGGCGUAAAGAGCUCGUAGGCGGCUUGUCACGUCGGGUGUGAAAGCCCGGGGCUUAACCCCGGGUCUGCAUUCGAUACGGGCUAGCUAGAGUGUGGUAGGGGAGAUCGGAAUUCCUGGUGUAGCGGUGAAAUGCGCAGAUAUCAGGAGGAACACCAAUGGCGAAGGCAGCUCGCUGGGACGGUACUGACGCUAAGGCGCGAAAGCGUGGGGAGCAAACAGG
rnacentral:rRNA from 1 species